UACGGAGGGAGCUAGCGUUAUUCGGAAUUACUGGGCGUAAAGCGCACGUAGGCGGCUUUGUAAGUUAGAGGUGAAAGCCUGGAGCUCAACUCCAGAAUUGCCUUUAAGACUGCAUCGCUUGAAUCCAGGAGAGGUGAGUGGAAUUCCGAGUGUAGAGGUGAAAUUCGUAGAUAUUCGGAAGAACACCAGUGGCGAAGGCGGCUCACUGGACUGGUAUUGACGCUGAUGCGCGAAAGCGUGGGGAGCAAACGGG
rnacentral:rRNA from 1 species